rnacentral:rRNA from 1 species
GACGAACGCUGGCGGCGUGCUUAACACAUGCAAGUCGAACGGUAAGGCCCUUCGGGGUACACGAGUGGCGAACGGGUGAGUAACACGUGGGUGAUCUGCCCUGCACUUCGGGAUAAGCCUGGGAAACUGGGUCUAAUACCGGAUAGGACCCUGGAAUGCAUGUCCUGGGGUGGAAAGCUUUUGCGGUGUGGGAUGGGCCUGCGGCCUAUCAGCUUGUUGGUGGGGUGAUGGCCUACCAAGGCGACGACGGGUAGGCGGCGUGAGAGGGGGACCGGCCACACUGGGACUGAGAUACGGCCCAGACUCCUACGGGAGGCAGCAGGGGGGAAUAUUGCACAAUGGGCGCAAGCCUGAUGCAGCGACGCCGCGGGAGGGAUGACGGCCUUCGGGUUGUAAACCUCUUUCAGCACCGACGAAGCGCAAGUGACGGUAGGUGCAGAAGAAGGACCGGCCAACUACGUGCCAGCCGCCGCCGUAAGAC